GACGAACGCUGGCGGCGUGCUUAACACAUGCAAGUCGAGCGGUAAGGCCCUUUCGGGGGUACACGAGCGGCGAACGGGUGAGUAACACGUGGGCGACCUACCCUCAGCUUCGGGAUAAGCCUGGGAAACUGGGUCUAAUACCGGAUAUGACCUUCCCUCGCAUGGGGGGUUGGUGGAAAGUUUUUUCGGCUGGGGAUGGGCCCGCGGCCUAUCAGCUUGUUGGUGGGGUGAUGGCCUACCAAGGCGACGACGGGAGCCGGCCUGAGAGGGCGACCGGCCACACUGGGACUGAGAUACGGCCCAGACUCCUACGGGAGGCAGCAGUGGGGAAUAUUGCGCAAUGGGCGGAAGCCUGACGCAGCGACGCCGCGUGGGGAUG
rnacentral:rRNA from 1 species